ACUUUCGCCGGCCGCGCCCGCGCCCGUCCCGCCGCCCCCGCCCCCUACGGGAGGCAGCAGGGGGGAAUUUUGGACAAUGGGCGAAAGCCUGAUCCAGCCAUUCCGCGUGAGUGAAGAAGGCCUUCGGGUUGUAAAGCUCUUUCGCAAGGGAAGAAAACUUACCUUCUAAUAAAGGGUGAGGCUGACGGUACCUUGAUAAGAAGCACCGGCUAACUACGUGCCAGCAGCCGCGGUAAUACGUAGGGUGCGAGCGUUAAUCGGAAUUACUGGGCGUAAAGCGUGCGCAGGCGGUUUGGAAGUCAGAUGUGAAAUCCCCGAGCUCAACUUGGGAACUGCGUUUGAAACUGCCAGACUAGAAUAUGUCAGAGGGGGGUAGAAUUCCACGUGUAGCAGUGAAAUGCGUAGAGAUGUGGAGGAAUACCAAUGGCGAAGGCAGCCCCCUGGGAUAAUAUUGACGCUCAUGCACGAAAGCGUGGGGAGCAAACAGGAUUAGAACCC
rnacentral:rRNA from 1 species